rnacentral:lncRNA from 1 species
AAUUUAAACUCUAAAAGCCUGCAAUGAGUUUACAAUGGCUUCUAUACAACUGAUUAAUCUCAAUUGAUCUUGGCUUGGAACACAAGAGCAUGAGAAAUCAUAGAAACAGAGAAAAGACUGCUCAAGACUCUGCUGAAGAUUGAAUCUGUUGUGGAAGUUGGAGUGUAACUAUUUGUGUUUCACAUCUGAUGGAUGCCUUCAGUUUAUCUGCUCUCCAGAAGACUUCCGGAAGACACAGUGCGUUCUUUAGAAUGUAUUUUAAAGACUUCCCUCAUAAGAACAAUGCAUUCCAGGAUAAGUUCUAGGAACAUCUCUAGAGAAGGAGAGGAGAUAUUGGAAAUUAUUUUUGUGUUAGUUCUGGUCAUGCUACUGUGGCCAAAAUAUUUCAAGUUUAUGAAGUAUUUUGUUAUGGGCUAUUGUAUGCCUGGUGUCAUCAUUACUGCACCUAUGACUUUCUAGAGUUUUGUUCUUAACAUCAAUUUUGGUAGCCAGCAGAAGAAUGAAUAUGUUAAAAUCUUAAGCAAAUCAAAUCCAGUUACAAGAUGAGAACAAUGCUGCAAAGAACUUUUUACUUGGAGUUUUCAUUAGAAGGCUCCAGCUAACACCAUGAGGUGGUCUCUGGCCAAUCUGAGAGCCAGGAUGGUGGGAAGAAUUUGAACCAGUGCUUCAGAGAAAGAACCCUGUUCCUACAGUUUAGCAUCUCUGUCUACUUUUGCAAGUAAGAGCAAUAUAUGAGAAAAUGAAAAUUGCUGUAGUGCAUUACGUGAGUAGUCAGUUCUUGAAUGUUCUUCAAUACAAAACUUGGAUUUCUUUUUGAACUUCGUACAGAAACUAUUAUAAGAAUUGUAACUAGUUAUUGCAUAGCACUGCUAUGCAACAUUUUAAAGUAUACACAACUUAAUAAUAAACAUCCUU